AGGACCUACUGUUUUUUGAAAGGCAUAAACAAGAACCAAGGAACUGCAGUCCAAAGGGCAUGAAAGCACUUGCCCCAAUUUGAGGCUACUGUGCUUAGAGCGGAGCUCUCCAGAACUCUUUGUAGCUAAGUGCAUGGGUUUCACGUGUGCAAUAGAAAAAUCACGAGUGCACAUCUCACAAGAGCUGGUUUUAAGAAGACACUGUCACGAAGGUUCCCGGCGAGGAGCGUCGCCAGAGAUGCUGCGUAGCGUGCCCGACCCUGCAUUUCUCUCCUCUCCUGCAGAGACCUCCUGGAACAGAUCCCCGCGUGCCCCGCGCCUGCACGCCUGCGCACGCCCACUGGGGCGGGGCUCUCAGGCACGCGGACCGCCGUCCUCCAACAGCUCCUGGCGUCUGUUGGGGCAGUUGGCUUGGCUCCGGAAGACAGGAGCGCAUGCGCGAGCGCGGAGGUUGGGGCCCCAACGGCUGUCCGGCGGGGGCGGGGCCUGUCAUGGCCGCCUCUGGAGUCAAUUCCAGGAACCCUGAGUCUGAUACUCUCAGAUCAUGACGGAAUUGCAAGCAUAGUUUGGCUGGUGAUGCAAGAGUUCAGCAAAAAUCAACGAAAGGAUUAGGGAGUGCUGAUUCAGGUUAUUAAGGCUUUGCUUGAUGACAC